GUGCUUACACAUGCAGUCGAACGGUGAAGGAGAGCUUGCUCUCCGGAUCAGUGGCGAACGGGUGAGUAACACGUGAGCAAUCUGCCCCUGACUCUGGGAUAAGCGCUGGAAACGGCGUCUAAUACCGGAUACGAGCUGCGAAGGCAUCUUCAGCAGCUGGAAAGAACUUCGGUCAGGGAUGAGCUCGCGGCCUAUCAGCUUGUUGGUGAGGUAAUGGCUCACCAAGGCGUCGACGGGUAGCCGGCCUGAGAGGGUGACCGGCCACACUGGGACUGAGACACGGCCCAGACUCCUACGGGAGGCAGCAGUGGGGAAUAUUGCACAAUGGGCGCAAGCCUGAUGCAGCAACGCCGCGUGAGGGACGACGGCCUUCGGGUUGUAAACCUCUUUUAGCAGGGAAGAAGCGAAAGUGACGGUACCUGCAGAAAAAGCACCGGCUAACUACGUGCCA
rnacentral:rRNA from 1 species